rnacentral:sRNA from 1 species
AGCAGCCGCGGUAAUUCCAGCUCCAAUAGCGUAUAUUAAGGUUGUUGCAGUUAAAAGCUCGUAGUUGAAUUUCGGGAUCAAAGGAUCGGUCAUGCCUUGGUAUGUACUGGUUUUAUUGGUUCUCACCUUCUAAAGAACCAUAAUGUCAUUCAUUUGAUGUUAUGGGGAAUUAGGACUGUUACCUUGAAAAAAUUAGAGUGUUUAAAGCAGGCUUACGCUUGAAUACAUUAGCAUGGAAUAAUGAAAUAGGACAUCAGAUUCUAUUUUGUUGGUUUCUAGGAUCGAUGUAAUGAUUAAUAGGGAUAGUUGGGGGCAUUAGUAUUCAAUUGUCAGAGGUGAAAUUCUUGGAUUUAUUGAAGACUAACUACUGCGAAAGCAUUUGCCAAGGAUGUUUUCAUUAAUCAAGAACGAAAGUUAGGGGAUCGAAGACGAUCAGAUACCGUCGUAGUCUUAACCAUAAACUAUGCCGACUAGGGAUCGGAUGAUGUUAAUUUUAUAAUGACUCAUUCGGCACCUUACG